UACGAAGGGUGCAAGCGUUACUCGGAAUUACUGGGCGUAAAGCGUGCGUAGGUGGUGAGUUAAGUCUGUCGUGAAAGCCCCGGGCUCAACCUGGGAAUGGCGAUGGAUACUGGCUCGCUAGAGUGCGGUAGAGGAGAGUGGAAUUCCCGGUGUAGCAGUGAAAUGCGUAGAGAUCGGGAGGAACACCAGUGGCGAAGGCGGCUUGCUGGGCCGGACCUGACGCUGAGGCGCGAAGGCGUGGGGAGCGAACGGG
rnacentral:rRNA from 1 species